GGCUAUAUGAAUCCUAGAACGCCAUUGCGCUCGGUUUUGUGUCAUGUCCUCCGUUAGAUCCAAGUACUCAAGUCUUUUCUUAGGGUCUCUUCCAAAGUUUUCCUAGGUCUUCCUCUACCCCUUCGGCCCUGAACCUGUCCCGUAGUCACAUUUUCGAACCGGAGCGUCAGUAGGCCUUCUUUGCACAUGUCCAAACCACCGGAACCGAUUUUCUCUCAUAUUUCCUUCAAUUUUGGCUACUCCUACUUUACCUCGGAUAUCCUCAUUCCCAAUCUUAUCCUUUCUCGUGUGCCCAUACAUCCCAUGAAGCAUCCUCAUCUCCGCUACACCCAUUUUGUGUACGUGUUGAUGCUUCACCGCCCAACAUUCUGUGCCAUACAACAUCGCUGACUUUAUUGCCGUCCUAUAAAAUUUUCCCUUGAGCUUCAGUGGCCUACGACGGUCACACAACACGCCGGAUGCACUCUUACACUUCAUCCAUCCAGCUUGUAUUCUAUGGUUGAGAUCUCCAUCUAAUUCUCCGUUCUCUUGCAAGAUAGAUCCUAGGUAGCGAAAACGGUCACUUUUUGUGAUCUUCGCUAGAUUGCUCCGGUCAUUAGUGUGGAUAAGUAUAUAGAUGGAUAGAGAUAGGAAAGCAAACACAAGAUGUACGUGGUUCACCCAAAUUGGCUAUGUCCACGGAAUAAAGGAGUUCUCAUUAAUUGUGAAGGGUUUACACAAGUACAUAGGUUCAAGCUCUCCUUUAGUGAGUACAAGUGAAUGAUUUAGUACAAAUGACAUUAGGAAAUAUUGUGGGAGAAUGAUCUCGUAACCACGAAACUUCUAAGUACCGGAGUGUGGUAUCGUCUUGACUUGCCUUAUCUGUCUCAUAGGUAGAUGUGGCAUCUUCUCUGGAAGUACUCUUCCUCCAUCCAGGGGUGGUAUCUGUAACUGGUGGAGAUGCACAAGGUAAUGUAUCAAUUUCACUUGAAGCUUACUUGUACUUUCAGGCUUGGUUAAGCGCGAUACAAACCAUGUAGUAGGAGUCCCCUAAGUCGCCGAGCUAGGGGAUCUGUUGAAAGAGGUGACAGACAAGGUAAGCAAUCAGAGCUCCGGCUGAUUGUUCACAUUCUCCCUAUCUUGCAAGCAGCAUGAAGGAUAAAGAGAAGAAAAAUGAGAAGAGAUGAUAUGGGAUACUUUUGCUUUUGAAGAAGUAACUUUCCACAGGCUUAUUCUUGAACUGGGCUGGAGGGUUUUCUGGUUUCCUCCAGAGUAUAAGGCCGACUGAAGAAUUUGAGGGUCAAAACAAGUCCAUCAAAUCUAGAGUACGUUCGACCCUGCUGAUAUGGGAUACUUUUGCUUUUGACAGAGUAGUGGAUGUAUCGGCACGUGUGCUGUUACGCUUGUCUCCACAUGCUUCCUUGUAUCCUUCUCACUUGCCCUAUCUGUUCCUCAGGCAGAUGCGGUAUCUUCCCUGGAAGCAUAAGAUGUUGAAGAUGAGUACUCGAGAGCAAUGCCAGGUAAGUAAUCAGGUAAGGGGUUCCAGGCAGUCAGUUUCUGGCUGGAAGCUUGAUUCCAAGUGCUGACUGAUUGCUCUCUUUCUCCUUGUCUUGCAGGUAAGAACAAGGCCAAAGGAAAAGACAGGGAAAAAAGCAUGAUAUGGGAUACUCUUGCUUUUAACCCUGAUGAUAUGAGAUAUUCUUGCUCUAGUAUAGCUUGUUUAUAGAGGUAUUAUCGGGGGGAAAGAAAGCUGAAUAUUUCGAAAGGCUUCGUUGGGAGUGCCCUCUCAGAUAAGAGGAAGGGUUGAGCAUUUUUGCAGGUCUGCCUGUCCGUUGGGGAUGGAGGUCGACAUAUAUAGGAGUCUCCCUAACAUCAAGUAAUAAUGCUAUUCCUUUACCCUGCUUGGUCAUAGCACGGUAGUGGGAGCUGCCAACUUCACAUGUUUUAACUCUGUCAGAGCACUUUGAAAAAAUGGUCUAUGGUAUCUGGAAAGCUGAUGUUGCGUGUGAAGAUUACAGACGAGCUUUAUCCAAGGAGAUCCAGCUUUUGAAGUUGGGAAAGUGGUGCCUCUUCGGUUUUCGAACAAGCAAUCCUGUCGGGGAUCUGGCUCUCAAGAUUCGGAGAACGAUGCCUCUUCGAUUUUUGAGAAAGCAAUCCUGCUGGGGGUCUGGCUCUCGAGAUUCGGGGAGCAGUGUCUCUUCGAUUUUUGAGAAAGCAAUCCUGCUGGGGGUCUGGCUCUCGAGAUUCGGGGAGCGGUGUCUCUUCGAUUUUUGAGAAAGUAAUCAUGUUGGGAGUCUGGCUCUCGAGAUUCGGAGGGCGGUGCCUCUUCGAUUUUGGAGCAAGCAAUCUUGUUGGGAGUGUUUUCUCGAAUGUGAGUAAAGGUUGGGCAUGUUUGCUAGUCUACCUUGUCACGAAGCACAGAGGUUGACACACAGGGACUUUCCAAUUAUCCAGCAGUGGUACUGUUCCUUUACCCUCUCUUCGAUUUUUGAGAAAGUAAUCAUGUUGGGAGUCUGGCUCUCGAGAUUCGGAGGGCGGUGCCUCUUCGAUUUUGGAGCAAGCAAUCUUGUUGGAAGUGUUUUCUCGAAUGUGAGUAAAGGUUGGGCAUGUUUGCUAGUCUACCUUGCCACGAAGCACAGAGGUUGACACACAGGGACUUUCCAAUUAUCCAGCAAUGGUACUGUUCCUUUACCCUCUCUUCGAUUUUUGAGAAAGUAAUCAUGUUGGGAGUCUGGCUCUCGAGAUUCGGAGGGCGGUGCCUCUUCGAUUUUGGAGCAAGCAAUCUUGUUGGGAGUGUUUUCUCGAAUAUGAGUAAAGGUUGGGCAUGUUUGCUAGUCUACCUUGCCAUGAAGCACAGAGGUUGACACACCGGGACUUUCCAAUUAUCCAGCAGUGGUACUGUUCCUUUACCCUUGUGGGUAAUAAUAUGGUAGCUAGACCUUCAAAAUUUAUGUGUCUAAACUUUGUUAGUGUUGUUUCUUUGCUAUUCUUUUACCCUUCUUGGUCAGAGCGAUGUAGUGGGAGCUGCAAGCUUCACGUGUCUCAACUUUGUCAGAGAACUUUGGCAAAGUUAUAUGUGGUACCCAUGAGCUACUGUUGCAUGUGGGAAGUGGGUGAUUGAACAGUACGAUUCAUGUGCUUUCUACUUCGCCAGAAAUCUUCGACAGAAUGCCCAUAAUUUCCGCAAAGCUGAGUGUGCGUGUGACAGGUGCUGACAAGGCUGGAAAAGUAGGUGCCUUUUCAAUUUCUGAGAUCGGCCCUCGUGGUCUCUGAGCAGCCCAGCUUUUGAGAAAGCAAGCCUCUUCGAUUUCUGAGAUCGGCCUUCAUGGUCUUUGAGCAGCCCAGCUUUUGAGAAAGCAAACGCCUCUUCGAUAUCUGAGAUCGACCCUCAUGAUCUCUGGGCAGCCCAGCUUUUGAGAAAGCAAACGCCUCUUCGAUUUCUGAGCAGGCGCCUCUUCGAUUUCUGAAGCUUCGUCGAGUGCAGAUUUUUAUAGGGGCUGACAUUAAGUUCCAAAACACACUUGAAUAUCCACCAGUAGAAACUCCAUUCUUGCACUUCUAAGAUCUUGAUUUGUCCGACCUCUUCUCUCUUCAACACCUUUGAAAAUGUCUGGCCCCUCUGACUGUCGUUUUGACUUGAACCUUGUUGAAGAGGCAGCCCCGCCUUCUCCAGACAACAUAUGGCGCCCAUCCUUCGUCUCCCCUAUUGGUCCUCUUACCGUUGGGGAUUCCGUGAUGAAGAAUGAUAUGACCGCUGCGGUAGUGGCCAGGAACCUUCUCACUCCCAAAGAUAACAGACUACUUUCCAAACGGUCUGAUGAGUUGGCUGUUAAGGAUUCUCUGGCUCUCAGUAUUCAGUGUGCACGUUCUGUGUCUAAUAUGGCCCAACGCCUAUUUGCUCGAACCCGCCAAGUUGAAUCAUUGGCGGCUGAAGUGAUGAGUCUCAAACAGGAGAUUAGAGGGCUCAAGCAUGAGAAUAAACAGUUGCACCGGCUCGCACAUGACUAUGCUACAAACAUGAAGAUGAAGCUUGACCAGAUGAAGGAAUCUGAUGGUCAGGUUUUACUUGAUCAUCAGAGAUUUGGGAGCAGCCUCUCCAUAAAUGGGGGUAAGGCUAGCCGACAUUCACCUCUCCCAGACCAUGCGUAAAGCGGGAGCCUUGUGCACUGGAUACGACCUUUUUUUUUUUUAUCAGAGAUUUGUGGGUUUGUUCCAAAGGCAUUUAUUGCCUUCGUCUUCUGGGGCUGUACCGCGUAAUGAAGCUCCAAAUGAUCAACCUCUGAUGCCUCCUCCUUCUAGGGUUCUGUCCAGUACUGAGGCUCCGAAUAAUCCCCUUCCGGUGCCUUCUCUUUCUGGGGCUCUACCGACUGCUAAGACUUCUCCUAAGCAACCUUUGUGAAGGCUCCCUCUUGUUUGUUUAUUUUGACUCAAGUAUAUGUACAUAUUUGUAACUAUUCGGGGAUAUCAAUAAAUAAGCUUUCCUUCAUUUCAACGUAUUGUGUUAAAUACACCAAAGCCUUCUUCGCUAAGUUCUUUGAAUUUUCUUUUGUUGAAGCUUGUAUGUUGAAGCUUUGUGAGUGGAGCAUGUAGGUUGAGGUAGUGUUCCCUUAAUUUCUCGAGUGAGGAAAACUUCUCGGUUGGAGACUUGGAAAAUCCAAGUCACUGAGUGGGAUCGGCUAUAUGAAUCUUAGAACGCCAUUGUGUUCUGUCCUAUGUCAUGUUCUCCGUUAGAUCCAAGUACUCUAAGUCUUUUCUUAGGGUCUCUUCCAAAGUUUUCCUAGGUCUUCCUCUACCUCUUCGGCCCUGAACCUCUGUCCCAUAGUCGCAUCUUCUAAUCGGAGCGUCAGUAGGCCUUCUUUGCACAUGUCCAAACCACCGUAACCGAUUUUCUCUCAUCUUUCCUUCAAUUUCAGCUACUCCUACUUUACCCCGGAUAUCCUCAUUCCUAAUCUUAUCCUUUCUCGUGUGCCCACACAUCCAACGAAGCAUCCUCAUCUCCGCUACACCCAUUUUGUGUACGUGUUGAUGCUUCACCGCCCAACAUUCUGUGCCAUACAGCAUCGCCGGCCUUAUUGCCGUCCUAUAAAAUUUUCCCUUGAGCUUCAGUGGCAUACGGCGGUCACACAACACGCCGGAUGCACUCUUCCACUUCAUCCAUCCAGCUUGUAUUCUAUAGUUGAGAUCUCCAUCUAAUUCUCCGUUCUUUUGCAAGAUAGAUCCUAGGUAACGAAAACGGUCGCUCUUUGGUAUUUCUUGAUCUCCGAUCCUCGCCCCUAACUCGUUUUGGCCUCCAUUUGCACUGAACUUGCACUCCAUAUAUUCUGUCUUUGAUCGGCUUAGGCGAAGACCUUUAGAUUCCAACACUUCUCUCCAAAGGUUAAGCUUUGCAUUUACCCCUUCCUGAGUUUCAUCUAUCAACACUAUAUCGUCUGCAAAAAGCAUACACCAAGGAAUAUCAUCUUGAAUAUGUCCUGUUAACUCAUCCAUUACCAACGCAAAAAGGUAAGGACUUAAGGAUGAGCCUUGAUGUAAUCCUACAGUUAUGGGAAAGCUUUCGGUUUGUCCUUCAUGAGUUCUUACGGCAGUCUUUGCUCCUUCAUACAUAUCCU
rnacentral:lncRNA from 1 species